GACGAACGCUGGCGGCGUGCUUAACACAUGCAAGUCGAACGGAAAGGCCUCUUUCGGGGGGUACUCGAGUGGCGAACGGGUGAGUAACACGUGAGUAACCUGCCCUUGACUUUGGGAUAACUUCAGGAAACUGGGGCUAAUACCGGAUAGGAGCUCCUGCUGCAUGGUGGGGGUUGGAAAGUUUCGGCGGUUGGGGAUGGACUCGCGGCUUAUCAGCUUGUUGGUGGGGUAGUGGCUUACCAAGGCUUUGACGGGUAGCCGGCCUGAGAGGGUGACCGGCCACAUGGGGAAUGAGAUACGGCCCAGACUCCUACGGGGGGCAGAGGGGGGGAAUUUUGCAAAAGGGGGGGAAGCCGGAUGCAGCAACGCCGGGGGGGGGAUGAGGGCCUGCGGGUUUAAAACCCUUUUCCCUCAGGAGGAAGUUUUGUGGGAGGGGGGGGGGAAAAAAACCCCGGGUAAAAUACGG
rnacentral:rRNA from 1 species